rnacentral:piRNA from 1 species
GUCUUCUCAUUGAGCUCCGUUCUGUCAAC